CAGCAGCCGCGGGAAUACGUAGGGUGCGAGCGUUAAUCGGAAUUACUGGGCGUAAAGCGUGCGCAGGCGGCUUUGCAAGACAGAUGUGAAAUCCCCGGGCUCAACCUGGGAACUGCAUUUGUGACUGCAAGGCUUGAGUACGGUAGAGGGGGAUGGAAUUCCGCGUGUAGCAGUGAAAUGCGUAGAUAUGCGGAGGAACACCAAUGGCGAAGGCAAUCCCCUGGACCUGUACUGACGCUCGUGCACGAAAGCGUGGGGAGCAAACAGGAUUAGAUACCCCGGUAGUCCCUGUCUCUUAUAC
rnacentral:rRNA from 1 species